rnacentral:rRNA from 1 species
CGGACGGGUGAGUAAUGUCUGGGAAACUGCCUGAUGGAGGGGGGUAACUACUGGAAACGGUAGCUAAUACCGCAUAACGUCGCAAGACCAAAGAGGGGGACCUUAGGGCCUCUUGCCAUCGGAUGUGCCCAGAUGGGAUUAGCUAGUAGGCGGGGUAACGGCUCACCUAGGCGACGAUCCCUAGCUGGUCUGAGAGGAUGACCAGCCACACUGGAACUGAGACACGGUCCAG